rnacentral:rRNA from 1 species
UCCAGACUCCUACGGGAGGCAGCAGUGGGGGAUAUUGCACAAUGGGGGAAACCCUGAUGCAGCGACGCCGCGUGAGUGAAGAAGUAUUUCGGUAUGUAAAGCUCUAUCAGCAGGGAAGAAAAAAGACGGUACCUGACUAAGAAGCCCCGGCUAACUACGUGCCAGCAGCCGCGGUAAUACGUAGGGGGCAAGCGUUAUCCGGAUUUACUGGGUGUAAAGGGAGCGUAGACGGCAAUACAAGUCGGAAGUGAAAUACCCGGGCUCAACCUGGGAACUGCUUUGGAAACUGUAUGGCUGGAGUGCUGGAGAGGUAAGCGGAAUUCCUAGUGUAGCGGUGAAAUGCGUAGAUAUUAGGAGGAACACCAGUGGCGAAGGCGGCUUACUGGACAGUAACUGACGUUGAGGCUCGAAAGCGUGGGGAGCAAACAGGAUUAGAUACCCUGGUAUC